GAAAGAGGGGUGUGUCUGUCAGACAGUAGACUGGAAUACACCAGCACCACACGGGAUCCCUGUUUGACUUAACGUGCUGUUUCUAACGAGUAACCAACUUGAUUAUUUCUAUAAAGUCGUAUUGCACAAAAGAGCUGGUGGAUUUCUCUGUGAGAGAGACCUGAGUGUGUGGAGCUGCUGGAUCGCAAGGAUUGAUCAAGGUUCACUGAGGAGAAGAAAUAAGAGGGAUCCACCUUUUCUCAGGCUCUAUUCCACCAAUUGAUUCCCCUGUCCACAAGCAGUUAGUUAGCACACCCUGGUGGUUGGACUACAGAGCCUGGUGUCACGUGUCAGAGGUCAAAGAACCAGUGUGCUUCGAGCUAGCAUAAAAUGCUGAAGUUUUGCUGGGACUGUAUCAGAAAGGUGUUCAUCAAACCCAAUGGUAAUUUGAACCCAUUGUAGUAGAUCACAUCACAUUUUAUGCUGUUCCUGCUGUUUGUGUAAUUGUGUAUUUGUGUGUGUGUGUGUGUGUGUGUGUGUGUGUGUGUGUGUGUCAGGUGCAAAUGACAGUGAAAUAUGGGAAAGGUUUCAAAUCUUGACUCUCCAGUGUAACUUUACCAAAGGUGACAUGUUUAUCAAAUGAGAUCUGACAGAUUUAAACAGGUGUCUGGCAGAUUUCCGCGUCACAUUUUCAUUUGAAUGUCAAGCCCUUUCCCUUUAUUAAAUUGCCUGUUUUCCAUUUUAUUUCUGGUCACCUCCAGUCAACCUCUUCUGUUGUAUUCCUAGCAGGGACAUCCUUCUCACGGUCUAAAUGUAAACACGUCUUCCAACACCAUUGAUUGACAUGCUGUGUUGAUUUUCUCAUUACUGACACACUCACUUCAAGCCAUUUAAAAAUAAUAGCAUAUUCCAGCCUUUAAGUGUGCACAGGCUGCAGCUCUGCACAUGCCACAAAAUGGCAAAGGCCAGAGAUGAAUGUUAAGUUGAAGUCCUCAGGCUGUUUCACUGAUCUUCAUUAGCUGGUGGCUCGGAGUGAUAGCAAUGUCUUUCCUGUGCAGCCCCUUAGUGAAUUCCUCUCCUCCAAUCACAGCUCAAGGAAACAGUUAAAUACUAAAAAAUUACACUUGUACACUAAACAGAUUCAUUCUCAUUAGAACAAAACAACACACUAAUAUUUAUCUUCAUAGUAUAAUCCUCACCACAGCCUCAGUGAAACCAAGUCCCUAAACAAGCACUGAAGAUUAAAUGACCUAUUUGUGUUUAUGAUUUACUUUAUAUUAACGUUGCAGAUCAAUGGUUUCCCAAUUUUCUCCUACCUGCAAUCCCACUGUUUCUUGCCCUGAGCUGCUCAUUUUACCUGCCAGCAUACACAUAAUGAAGUCUUAAACAAAGCAAAUCUCCACACUCCUAUAAAUGAGAAAUAUUAUUGUGUACGUAAUUAUAAACAACAGGCUGAAGAUGGUAGAGGGAUCACUUGGAAUGAAACUAAAUGGAUGAAUUUAUGGUGAUUUAAUAGAGGCCACUCAUUGGGACACUGUGCCAGUAGCUACAGUUUCAUAUAUUCACUGACAUCAUAAUAUGUGCAUUGACUUUUCGGGCCUGACUGGUGCCUUGCUUUCUCUUUAGCUGCCUCAAAAGACCCCAGUAGCCUCAGAGCACUUUAUGCUAAGUUAAUUUACCCAAAUAUAUCCGCGGCGUCGUGGCGGCAGCGGCCCCUGCUAUUCAACAUCAACAACUUUUGUUAAUGGAAACUUGCUGAUCCAUAAACGCUUGUGCCGCCACAGACGUUUGCUGGGGGGCAGUUCACGUAUGAAUGUUAAGAACCCACAGAUCGAUGAGGGGCAUUUGCAAAGGAGGCAUAAGGUGUGUUUAAUUAUAAUUGCGUCAGGGGUUUGUGUGCAUGUGUGUGUGUUUGUUUGUGGGGGAGGUGUUGCUGUUAAGGCUUAUAGGCAGGGGCCCCUGUAUUUAAAUAGGGUCACAUCUCUGCCUCACCUUGCAAGUGUUAUGCUAUAUUAAAUGCCACUCAUGUUAAGUGUGUUGAAACUCCUCUGAUGUAGUCAAGACAUAAUAUAAAGGUUAAAUUGAAAAAUGUCCCUUCAACAGCGCAGGAACACGCCAUGAUUGAUCUCCCUUGUAGAGGCAAGAAAUGUUUGCCAGACCUCUGUUUCGUUAGGCUUCUUUUAAGUGUGUGAAUACAAUACUUUAUAAUAAGGAGUGACUGGAUUAGAAUUUAAGUGUCAGUCAAUCAGGAUUUCAAAAGGUCAAUGAAAAAAUUUGCAAAAUGUGGGCAGUAGGUGGGUCUGAAGUAAUUGAAUUCAGUCAGAAUAGGCCUUUUUCACAGCAAACACUUUGACUUGUCAUAGUAAGAAAAGUGCAGGUGUCACAACACGGAACAAUGGCUCUGAUCUAUGUGGUAUGUAACAUGUUUUUGAACAGAUUUUGAUGACUGUUAUGUAUGUAAAUACUGUAUUAAAAUACUAUGUAUGGAUUUGGGGCAUGUGAGCCAGCAUGCUCAGUUCCUCUACCCUGAAAGCAAAGCAGCUAAAUGGCAUUCAGCCGUGAAUCAUUUUGUUAUUGUUAUCUGUCAUAUGUCAAAAUGUCAAAAACCUCAUGACUAAAUUUUGAUAAUUGUUGCAUGCUCUUACUGUAUGUGGUUUGAGAAUUUUAUGACAAUCAGUAUUUUUUUUCCUGUUAAACAGCUUUAAGCUACAACAAUUUAUUUUCUGACAAAUUUCUCAUUUUAGAUUAGUUUUAAUCUUAAAGAGCAGUGGAUUUUAAUGCUGAACGUCUUGUCAGAUUCAGUUGUCCUGACACUAAAUAAACAAAGGGAACUGGA